UACGUAGGGUGCAAGCGUUGUCCGGAAUUAUUGGGCGUAAAGAGCGUGUAGGCGGCCCGAUUAGUCUGCUGUGAAAGUCCAGGGCUCAACCCCUGGAAUGCCGGUGGAUACUGUCGGGCUAGAGUCCGGAAGGGGCGAGUGGAAUUCCUGGUGUAGCGGUGAAAUGCGCAGAUAUCAGGAGGAACACCGGUGGCGAAGGCGGGUCUCUGGGCCGUAACUGACGCUGAGGAGCGAAAAGCGUGGGGGAGCGAACAGG
rnacentral:rRNA from 1 species